rnacentral:rRNA from 1 species
GUCGAACGCUGGCGGCGUGCUUAACACAUGCAAGUCGAACGGAGUGGCGAACGGGUGAGUAACACGUGGGUGACCUGCCCUGCACUUCGGGAUAAUCCUGGGUAACUGGGUCUAAUACCGGAUAGUGUGGGAUGGGCCCGCGGCGUAUCCGCUUGUUGGUGGGGUAAUGGCCUACCAAGGCGGCGACGGGUAGCCGGCCUGAGCGGGUGGACGGCCACAUGGGGACUGAGACACGGACCAGACGGCGACGGGAGGCAGCAGUGGGGAAUAGUGCACAAUGGGCGGAAGCCUGAUGCAGCGACGCGGGGUGGGGGAAGACGGCCUUCGGGUUGUAAACUGCUUUCACCAUCGACGCGGUAGAUGGAGAAGAAGCACCGGCUAACUACGUGCCAGCAGCCGCGGUAAUAC